rnacentral:rRNA from 1 species
GCCUAACACAUGCAAGUCGAACGCGAGAGGGGCUUCGGCCCCGAUUGAGUGGCAAACGGGUGAGUAACACGUGGGCAACCUGUCCCUGAGUGGGGGAUAACUACUCSAAAGGGUGGCUAAUACCGCAUAAGACCACGGSCUUGSGGGGCUGAGGCCAAAGGCGCAAGCCGCUUGGGGAGGGGCCCGCGGCCGAUUAGCUAGUUGGUAGGGUAAUGGCCUACCAAGGCGACGAUCGGUAGCUGGUCUGAGAGGAUGAUCAGCCACACUGGUACUGAGACACGGACCAGACUCCUACGGGAGGCAGCAGUGGGGAAUAUUGCGCAAUGGGCGAAAGCCUGACGCAGCAACGCCGCGUGGGUGAUGAAGGCCUUCGGGUCGUAAAGCCCUGUCAGAUGGGACGAAGCAAGUGACGGUACCAUCGAAGGAAGCACCGGCUAACUCCGUGCCAGCAGCCGCGGUAAUACGGAGGGUGCAAGCGUUGUUCGGAAUCACUGGGCGUAAAGGGCGCGUAGGCGGUCCCAUAAGUCUGAUGUGAAAGCCCGGGGCUCAACCCCGGAAGUGCAUUGGAAACUGUGGGACUUGAGUCCGGGAGAGGAAGGCAGAAUUCCCGGUGUAGGGUUGAAAUCCGUAGAUAUCGGGAGGAAAACCGGUGGCGAAGCGGCYCUCUGGAACGAAACUGACGCUGAGGCGCGAAAGCGUGGGGAGCAAACAGGAUUAGAGACCCUGGUAGUCCACGCUGUAAACGAUGGAUGCUGGGUGUGGGAUUCAAUACGGAAUU